GGCGGCGUGCUUAACACAUGCAAGUCGAACGGAAAGGCCCCUUCGGGGGUACUCGAGUGGCGAACGGGUGAGUAACACGUGGGUGAUCUGCCCUGCACUUCGGGAUAAGCCUGGGAAACUGGGUCUAAUACCGGAUAGGACCACGGGAUGCAUGUCCUGUGGUGGAAAGCUUUUGCGGUGUGGGAUGGGCCCGCGGCCUAUCAGCUUGUUGGUGGGGUGACGGCCUACCAAGGCGACGACGGGUAGCCGGCCUGAGAGGGUGUCCGGCCACACUGGGACUGAGAUACGGCCCAGACUCCUACGGGAGGCAGCAGUGGGGAAUAUUGCACAAUGGGCGCAAGCCUGAUGCAGCGACGCCGCGUGGGGGAUGACGGCCUUCGGGUUGUAAACCUCUUUCACCAUCGACGAAGGUCCGGGUUUUCUCGGAUUGACGGUAGGUGGAGAAGAAGCACCGGCCAACUACGUGCCAGCAGCCGCGGUAAUACGUAGGGUGCGAGCGUUGUCCGGAAUUACUGGGCGUAAAGAGCUCGUAGGUGGUUUGUCGCGUUGUUCGUGAAAUCUCACGGCUUAACUGUGAGCGUGCGGGCGAUACGGGCAGACUGGAGUACUGCAGGGGAGACUGGAAUUCCUGGUGUAGCGGUGGAAUGCGCAGAUAUCAGGAGGAACACCGGUGGCGAAGGCGGGUCUCUGGGCAGUAACUGACGCUGAGGAGCGAAAGCGUGGGGAGCGAACAGGAUUAGAUACCCUGGUAGUCCACGCCGUAAACGGUGGGUACUAGGUGUGGGUUUCCUUCCUUGGGAUCCGUGCCGUAGCUAACGCAUUAAGUACCCCGCCUGGGGAGUACGGCCGCAAGGCUAAAACUCAAAGGAAUUGACGGGGGCCCGCACAAGCGGCGGAGCAUGUGGAUUAAUUCGAUGCAACGCGAAGAACCUUACCUGGGUUUGACAUGCACAGGACGCCGGCAGAGAUGUCGGUUCCCUUGUGGCCUGUGUGCAGGUGGUGCAUGGCUGUCGUCAGCUCGUGUCGUGAGAUGUUGGGUUAAGUCCCGCAACGAGCGCAACCCUUGUCUCAUGUUGCCAGCGGGUAAUGCCGGGGACUCGUGAGAGACUGCCGGGGUCAACUCGGAGGAAGGUGGGGAUGACGUCAAGUCAUCAUGCCCCUUAUGUCCAGGGCUUCACACAUGCUACAAUGGCCGGUACAAAGGGCUGCGAUGCCGCGAGGUUAAGCGAAUCCUUUUAAAGCCGGUCUCAGUUCGGAUCGGGGUCUGCAACUCGACCCCGUGAAGUCGGAGUCGCUAGUAAUCGCAGAUCAGCAACGCUGCGGUGAAUACGUUCCCGGGCCUUGUACACACCGCCCGUCACGUCAUGAAAGUCGGUAACACCCGAAGCCAGUGGCCUAACCCUUUGGGAGGGAGCUGUCGAAGGUGGGAUCGGCGAUUGGGAC
rnacentral:rRNA from 1 species